rnacentral:snRNA from 16 species
AUACUUACCUGGACGGGGUCGACGAGCGAUCAAGAAGGCUCGUGGCCUGGGUCAGUGGUCCGCAUUGCACUUGGUCGAUGCGCUGGCCCACCACCUCCCCAAGUGGGAGAGUGGACGUCGUAAUUUGUGGUAGAGGGGGUACGCGUUCGCGCGGCCCCUGC